AUAUAUAGGGAAAAAAACAAACUUUUGCAAAAUAAAAUGUUAUGUUAACACUUUUAAUAAAAGGAAAUCAAUAAAAGUGAUCGCUUACCGUUAUUCUACAAUAAUUUAUUGAACAAAAUUUCCAUGGGUAUCUCAUUUUUAAAAAAAAAGCGAUUUUCACCUUUCGAACGGCGUUUUCCCUAUCUUUUGCUAUGGAAUUUCAGCGACGGCACUGGCUGGAAGAUU